UUGGGCAGUCGAAAAAUUCCAAAAACAAAUGCGCGCACACGCAAAAGUGAAAUAAUUAGCAUAAUCUCGAUUCGUAAGUGGCUGUGAAAUUCAAAGCGUAUGCUUUGAUAUUAAAGCACUUGGCCCUUCAAGCGAGCGACGUUCGUUUUCUGAAUUCCAAAUGAAGUCAUGAGCAGCAGAUUGUAUGAAAACCAACAGCAACAACGAAGGCAGCAGCUAAACAACAAGACAAAAGUCGUUGUCGCAUUAUUACAACAAGAAAAGCUGUAAAAUAAAAAAAAAAAG
rnacentral:sRNA from 1 species